UACAGAGGUCUCGAGCGUUUAGGCGGAAUCACUGGGCUUAAAGCGUGUGUAGGCGGAUCGGUAAGUACCUUGUGAAAUCCCACAGCUUAACUGUGGAACUGCUUGGUAUACUGCCAGUCUUGAGCCACUUAGGGGCGUGUGGAACUCUAGGUGGAGCGGUGAAAUGCGUUGAUAUCUAGAGGAACACCGGUGGCGAAGGCGGUUCUCUGGGCAUUACCUGACGCUGAGGAGCGAAAGCAUGGGGAGCGAACAGG
rnacentral:rRNA from 1 species